rnacentral:lncRNA from 1 species
UCCUUUGACGUCUUCUUCUGGGUUUUUGCCGUCAACGAGCAAACGGGAAAGAAUGGCCUGACGCAAACACCUUAUUUUCCAUCAGUCCCCUCUUUGCCAUCUGUUCUUUGUAAGCUGAUGGCAAAGACUUUCUUUGGCGUGUGCUGGCAGACGACAAAGAACCGACAGGUGGCAAAUUCUAUUAUUCUAGUAGUGCUUGUCGUUUUGGUUCUCUUUUCACUUACAUUGGUUAGUCAUGCAAGGAACAACAUAAUAUAUCCAAAUGACAUGAGUGAAUUUCAUCCUCAUAUAAUUGUGAAGGAUAUGAUUUUGUUGUCUUCUUCCUCUAUCUCUGAAGAAGGGAUUGUUGAUACUUGGCUAUGUCAGGAUUGCUUUUGAUGUGAGUUAAUGUCAAUCUUGUGA